AACCAUUCUCACCUGCGGCUAGACCUGCGGAAGGAUCAUUACCGAGUUUACAACUCCCAAACCCCUGUGAACAUACCACUCGUUGCCUCGGCGGAUCACCGCGCCCCGUGAAACGGGCCGGCCCGCCAGAGGACCUAAACUCAAAUGUUUUAUUGUAUCUUCUGAGUAAAAACACAAAUAAAUCAAAACUUUUAACAACGGAUCU
rnacentral:misc_RNA from 1 species